CAGUCGCCGCGGGAAUACGUAGGUGGCAAGCGUUAUCCGGAAUUAUUGGGCGUAAAGCGCGCGUAGGCGGUUUUUUAAGUCUGAUGUGAAAGCCCACGGCUCAACCGUGGAGGGUCAUUGGAAACUGGAAAACUUGAGUGCAGAAGAGGAAAGUGGAAUUCCAUGUGUAGCGGUGAAAUGCGCAGAGAUAUGGAGGAACACCAGUGGCGAAGGCGACUUUCUGGUCUGUAACUGACGCUGAUGUGCGAAAGCGUGGGGAUCAAACAGGAUUAGAUACCCCCGUAGUCCCUGUCUCUUAUAC
rnacentral:rRNA from 1 species